rnacentral:rRNA from 1 species
CUAAGGCGAGGCCGACAGGCGUAGUCGAUGGAUAACGGGUUGAUAUUCCCGUACCGGUGAAGAACCGCCCAUACUGAUAUUGUGAUGCUAACCAUGCGAAGCAUGAUGUGCAGGCUUUUGUUUGUGUGUUGUGUGGGUUGUGGGACCCGAUCUUUGGAGGUAAACGUGUUAACAGGUGUGACGCAGGAAGGUAGCCAAGCCACGCGAUGGUUGUCGUGGUCUAAGCGUGUAGGGUUGUCGGUUGUUAAAUGCGCCGGCUGUGUGCCUGAGACGUGAUGGGACCCCGUUUUUGGGGGAUUUGGUGAUCCUAUGCUGCCGAGAAAAGCAUCGGCGUGAGGUUUUAGCCGCCCGUACCCUAAACCGACACAGGUGAUCAGGUAGAGAAUACUAAGGCGAUCGAGAGAAUCAUGGUUAAGGAACUCGGCAAAAUGCCCCCGUAACUUCGGGAGAAGGGGGACCUUGAGCGUGAUGGGCACUUGCUGCCUGGAGCGUGUAUGGGUCGCAGAGACCAGGGGGAAGCGACUGUUUAUCAAAAACACAGGUCCGUGCGAAGUCGUAAGACGAUGUAUACGGACUGACUCCUGCCCGGUGCUGGAAGGUUAAGAGGAUUGGUUAGCCCUUUUUGGGCGAAGCUGAGAAUUUAAGCCCCAGUAAACGGCGGUGGUAACUAUAACCAUCCUAAGGUAGCGAAAUUCCUUGUCGGGUAAGUUCCGACCUGCACGAAUGGAGUAACGACUUCCCUACUGUCUCAACCAUGAACUCGGCGAAAUUGCAGUACGAGUAAAGAUGCUCGUUUCGCGCAGCAGGACGGAAAGACCCCGUGACCUUUACUAUAGUUUGGUAUUGGUGUUUGGUUUGGCUUGUGUAGGAUAGGUGGGAGACUGUGAAGCAUGGACGCUAGUUUGUGUGGAGUCGUUGUUGAAAUACCACUCUGGUCAAUCUGGAUGUCUAACUUCGGGCCAUGAUCUGGUUCAGGGACAGUGCCUGAUGGGUAGUUUAACUGGGGCGGUUGCCUCCUAAAGUGUAACGGAGGCGCCCAAAGGUUCCCUCAGCCUGGUUGGCAAUCAGGUGUUGAGUGUAAGUGCACAAGGGAGCUUGACUGUGAGACUGGCAGGUCGAGCAGGGACGAAAGUCGGGACUAGUGAUCCGGCGGUACGUUGUGGAACGGCCGUCGCUCAACGGAUAAAAGGUACCUCGGGGAUAACAGGCUGAUCUUGCCCAAGAGUCCAUAUCGACGGCAUGGUUUGGCA